UGCUAUACUGCAGUCGAGCGAAUGGAUUAAGAGCUUGCUCUUAUGAAGUUAGCGGCGGACGGGUGAGUAACACGUGGGUAACCUGCCCAUAAGACUGGGAUAACUCCGGGAAACCGGGGCUAAUACCGGAUAACAUUUUGAACCGCAUGGUUCGAAAUUGAAAGGCGGCUUCGGCUGUCACUUAUGGAUGGACCCGCGUCGCAUUAGCUAGUUGGUGAGGUAACGGCUCACCAAGGCAACGAUGCGUAGCCGACCUGAGAGGGUGAUCGGCCACACUGGGACUGAGACACGGCCCAGACUCCUACGGGAGGCAGCAGUAGGGAAUCUUCCGCAAUGGACGAAAGUCUGACGGAGCAACGCCGCGUGAGUGAUGAAGGCUUUCGGGUCGUAAAACUCUGUUGUUAGGGAAGAACAAGUGCUAGUUGAAUAAGCUGGCACCUUGACGGUACCUAACCAGAAAGCCACGGCUAACUACGUGCCACCACCCGCGGUAAUACGUAGGUGGCAAGCGUUAUCCGGGAAUUAUUGGGCGUAAAGCGCGCGCAGGUGGUUUCUUAACUCUGAUGUGAAACCCCACCGCUCACCGUGGA
rnacentral:rRNA from 2 species